rnacentral:misc_RNA from 1 species
AUGACGACACUCAGGCCUUUCACGUGCAAUGAUUUAUUCAAAUUUAACAACGUGAAUUUAGAUCCUCUCACGGAGACAUAUGGGCUUUCAUUUUAUAUGCAUUAUCUUGCACAUUGGCCAGAGUACUUUCAAGUGGCUGAAUCUCCAAAUGGCGAAAUAAUGGGUUAUAUUAUGGGAAAAGCAGAAGGACAUGGAGAAUACUGGCAUGGUCAUGUAACUGCUCUCACAGUUUCUCCUGACUAUAGGAGACUGGGUCUUGCUGCAAUGCUGAUGAAGUUUCUGGAGGAAGUUUCUGAAAAGAAGCAGGCUUAUUUUGUGGAUCUUUUUGUGAGAGUCAGCAAUAAGGUGGCUAUCAAGAUGUAUCAACAAUUAGGAUAUAUUGUUUAUAGGACGAUACUGGAAUAUUAUAAUGGAGAUCCAGAUGAAGAUGCAUAUGAUAUGAGGAAAGCUUUGUCAAGAGAUGUGAAAAAGAAAUCUGUAAUUCCAUUGACGCAUCCUGUGAGGCCUGUGGAAGUAGAUUGAAAGGUUUUAAUAUUUAUAUAUUAUACAAAAUGCAUUGUUCGAGAAAUACAUCACUUGAUUAUUUAAUUGCGACUUUCAACUGCGAAUUAUUCUUGAUCGCUUCCGACCGAAACAGGUUUGAAUCGUCAGUCCAAGUGAUCGAAACGCACCUUGGUCGAAAACGCAAACACCACUAAAUACGACGCUUCGAAUUUUCGAGAUAUAAAUGUAAGAUGACUAUGUGAAAUGAGCUUAUAUACAGAUGUGCGUAUACGUUAUG